rnacentral:rRNA from 1 species
AGAGUUUGAUCCUGGCUCAGAACGAACGCUGGCGGCAGGCCUAACACAUGCAAGUCGAGCGCCCGCAAGGGAGCGGCAGACGGGUGAGUAACGCGUGGGAACGUGCCCUUUGGUUCGGAAUAUUCCCGGGAAACUGGGAGCAAAACCGGAUAAGCCCUUCGGGGGAAAGUUUACGCCAAAGGAUCGGCCCGCGUUAGAUUAGGUAGUUGGUGGGGUAACGGCCUACCAAGCCUACGAUCUAUAGCUGAUCUGAGAGGAUGAUCAGCCACACUGGGACUGAGACACGGCCCAGACUCCUACGGGAGGCAGCAGUGGGGAAUCUUGGACAAUGGGCGCAAGCCUGAUCCAGCCAUGCCGCGUGGAUGACUGAAGGCCCUAGGGUUGUAAAGUCCUUUCGACGGGGACGAUAAUGACGGUACCCGUAGAAGAAGCCCCGGCUAACUUCGUGCCAGCAGCCGCGGUAAUACGAAGGGGGCUAGCGUUGUUCGGAUUUACUGGGCGUAAAGGGCGCGUAGGCGGAUUUUUAAGUCGGGGGUGAAAUCCCGGAGCUCAACUCCGGAACUGCCUUCGAUACUGAAAGUCUGGAGCACGGUAGAGGUGAGUGGAAUUCCGAGUGUAGAGGUGAAAUUCGUAGAUAUUCGGAGGAACACCAGUGGCGAAGGCGGCUCACUGGACCGUUGCUGACGCUGAGGCGCGAAAGCGUGGGGAGCAAACAGAAUUAGAUACCCUGGUAGUCC